rnacentral:rRNA from 1 species
AAUCAUGGCUCAGAUUGAACGCUGGCGGCAGGCCUAACACAUGCAAGUCGAACGGUAACAGGAAGAAGCUUGCUUCUUUGCUGACGAGUGGCGGACGGGUGAGUAAUGUCUGGGAAACUGCCUGAUGGAGGGGGAUAACUACUGGAAACGGUAGCGUAAUACCGCAUAACGUCGCAAGACCAAAGAGGGGGACCUUCGGGCCUCUUGCCAUCGGAUGUGCCCAGAUGGGAUUAGCUAGUAGGUGGGUAACGG